rnacentral:rRNA from 1 species
GACGAACGCUGGCGGCGUGCCUAAUACAUGCAAGUAGAACGCUGAAGAGAGGAGCUUACUCUUCUUGGAUGAGUUGCGAACGGGUGAGUAACGCGUAGGUAACCUGCCUUGUAGCGGGGGAUAACUAUUGGAAACGAUAGCUAAUACCGCAUAACAAUGGAUGACACAUGUCAUUUAUUUGAAAGGGGCAAUUGCUCCACUACAAGAUGGACCUGCGUUGUAUUAGCUAGUAGGUGAGGUAAUGGCUCACCUAGGCGACGAUACAUAGCCGACCUGAGAGGGUGAUCGGCCACACUGGGACUGAGACACGGCCAGACUCCUACGGGAGGCAGCAGUAGGGAAUCUUCGGCAAUGGGGGCAACCCUGACCGAGCAACGCCGCGUGAGUGAAGAAGGUUUUCGGAUCGUAAAGCUCUGUUGUAAGUCAAGAACGGGCGUGAGAGUGGAAAGUUCACACUGUGACGGUAGCUUACCAGAAAGGGACGGCUAACUACGUG